CGAGGGCCGAUAUGGGUCGAGGGAUGAUACCAGGGCCAAUAUGGAAAAGGCCAUGUUAUAAUAUAUUUAUCACAUAUCUAAGUUCUGCAAAAUAGAGACACAAAGUUCAAUUAUUACAAUUUAAUGAAACAUAACAGGUAAAAUUUUAAAUUUUGUAUCACAAAAGUGUCGUUAAAGACGCAAUGACGUGACGUCAUUUGGAAUCAGGGCACAAUAUCAAUAUCGUCUUUUUUGCCCCGGGCAAUUUUGAGGUUAUUGCAUAUGCAAAACCCAACAUAUUCGUAACAAAUGUGUGAUAA
rnacentral:lncRNA from 1 species